CACCUUAUCCAUCCACGUCCAAUGAAGGUCAGUGAUUUUUUGAUAUCCACUCUCUAAAGCAUGCAUAUCGUGCAUCCACUAAAAAGAAAAGACAAGUCAGAUAAAAAAAAAGGAGGAAUGUGGAAUAUCAGAAAAUUACCCCAAGCAUCGUUGGGUAAAAGGAAGAAAAUAUUUCGGACCGAUUUUUUCUGUUCUCCCU
rnacentral:lncRNA from 1 species